GACGAACGCUGGCGGCGUGCUUAACACAUGCAAGUCGAACGAUGAAGCCUAGCUUGCUAGGUGGAUUAGUGGCGAACGGGUGAGUAAUACGUGAGUAACCUACCUUUAACUCUGGGAUAAGCCUGGGAAACUGGGUCUAAUACCGGAUACGACCGAUCUCCGCAUGGGGUGUUGGUGGAAAGCGUUAUGUAGUGGUUAUAGAUGGGCUCACGGCCUAUCAGCUUGUUGGUGAGGUAACGGCUCACCAAGGCGACGACGGGUAGCCGGCCUGAGAGGGUGACCGGCCACACUGGGACUGAGACACGGCCCAGACUCCUACGGGAGGCAGCAGUGGGGAAUAUUGCACAAUGGGCGCAAGCCUGAUGCAGCGACGCCGCGUGAGGGAUGACGGCCUUCGGGUUGUAAACCUCUGUUAGCAGGGAAGAAGAGAAAUUGACGGUACCUGCAGAGAAAGCGCCGGCUAACUACGUGCCAGCAGCCGCGGUAAUACGUAGGGCGCGAGCGUUGUCCGGAAUUAUUGGGCGUAAAGAGCUUGUAGGCGGUUUGUCGCGUCUGCCGUGAAAGGCCGGGGCUUAACCCCGUGUAUUGCAGUGGGUACGGGCAGACUAGAGUGCAGUAGGGGAGACUGGAACUCCUGGUGUAGCGGUGGAAUGCGCAGAUAUCAGGAAGAACACCGAUGGCGAAGGCAGGUCUCUGGGCUGUAACUGACGCUGAGAAGCGAAAGCAUGGGGAGCGAACAGG
rnacentral:rRNA from 1 species